rnacentral:miRNA from 1 species
UUCACCGGAAACCAGGAGAGG